AUACUUACCUGCCAGGGGAAAUACCAUGAUCACAAAGGGAGUUUUCCUAGGGCGAGGUUUAUCAAUUGCACCCUGGAUGCACUGACCCCUGCGAUUUCUCCAAAUGUGGGAAACUCAAAUGCAAAAUUUGUGGUAGUUGGGGAUUGUGUUCGCUCUGUCCCCUG